GCUGGGUGGGAUGGCGGGCACCUGUAAUCCCAGCUACUCAGGAGGCUGAGGCAGGAGAAUCGCUUGAACCCGGGAGGCUGAGGGUUGCAGUGAGCUGAGAUCACGCCACUGCACUCUAGCCUGGGCAACAGAGCGAGAUUCUGUCUCAA
ensembl:misc_RNA Metazoa_SRP Metazoan signal recognition particle RNA